rnacentral:lncRNA from 1 species
UUAGUGUCAAAAAGAAACCAACUCUAACACUGAGCUACCUCAUUAUAGUGGAAACUAUUAAAAAAAAAAAUCUAAAAUUAAAGCUCUAAAAUAUAGAUAGAAAAAAAACUACAAGAAAGAUGAUACAUAAGGUACAAGGAACUACUAAUCAACUAUUACUUGUCAAAUAAAUAGAGCUCAAAGCUUAGAGCUUUUGUCUGAAAGAAAAUGAAACCUUGUCAAUUUUAAUUUUAUAAUGUGAAUCUUGCCUCAUAGAAUCAAAACAAAAUAAUAACUAGUUGCAUGAAUAAAUGAAGCAUACACAUGUAGAAGGACAUGAGUAGAAUGCAACUUGGAUGAAUAUUUAUGAAUAUUAGAAACUUAUCAAACUUUUGAUUAUGAAUUAUUGUGUCUAAAAAAGAUUCCUUAAAAUAUACUAGAAAUCAAUUAAAAAAAAAUUUUGAAAAGAAUAAAUCGAUGAAAAAAGAGAGCUUGACAAGAAUCUAAUUAUAAAUCUUGACUAAUAUCAAUAA